rnacentral:lncRNA from 1 species
AGGGAUCAAACCCACAUGCUAAUGGAUGCUGGUCGGGUUCGUUAACCGCUGAGUCUUGAUGGGAACUCCACAAGAAAAAAUUAAAUAGCUUAAUGUGUACUAUAGAUUGAGGUUGGCAACUGCAUUUACCAUUUCAAGAUAAAUGAAUCCAGUAUAAGGAUCAUUGUAAAAAAAAAAAAAAAAAAGGAAGCUUUAGCUGGAGUUCUCAUCAUGGCACAGUGGAAAUGAAUCUGACUAGCAUUCCAUGAGGAGGCAGGUACGAUCCCUGGCUUUGCUCAGUGGGUUAAGGAUCUGGUGUUGCGGUGAGCUGUGAUAUAGGUUGCAGAUGAGGUUUGGAUCCUGUUUUGAUGUGGUGUAGGCCAGCAGCUAUAGCUCCGAUUUGAUACCUAGCCUGAAACCUCCAUAUGCUGCAUGGGUGCAGUCCUAAAAAAGACAAAAAAAAAAAAAAAAAAAGCUGUAGUUGGUGCAAAACCUUGCAUUUUUUGCAAAAUAUCUUUUUAUCUCAUUGAAAAUGUAGAUUUUAUAUGGGUACAGGAUUGCUUUAAGAAGGCAAAUCUGGAGUUCCCACUGUGGUGUAGUGGGUUAAGGAUUCGAUAUUGUCAUUGCAGUGCUCUGGUUGCUGCUUGGUUAUGUGUUUGAUUCCUGGCCUGAGAACUUCCACAUACUGUGGGGACGGCCAAAAAAGAGGCAUAUCUGUAGACUUAAAUAUGAUUUGAGAAAAAGUAAAGUCAUGUAACAACUUACAGCAAAAGGAAGAUUGAAGGAUCUAAAGCUGGAGACUUUAAUGCCAGCAAAGGAUGGUUUGAUAAUUUUAAAAAGUUUGGCUUUAAAAUGUUAACAAGAUAAGCAGCUUCUGCCCACCAAGAGACAGCAGACAAAUUCCCAGACACUGUUAAGAAAACUGUUGAGGAGAAAGGCUAUCUGUCUGAACAGAUUUUUUUUUUCCUUUUUAUGGCCACACCUGGUAAAAGUUCCCAGGCCAUGGGUUGAAUUGGAAAUGCACCUGAGGCCUGUGCCAUAGCAACACUGGAUUCAAGUGGUAUCUGUGACCUAUGCCACAGCUUGUGGCAAUGCCAGACCCUUAACCCACUGGGCAAGGCCAGGGAUCAAACCCACAUCCUCACAGAGGCAACACUGGGUCCUUAACCCACUAAGCCACAAUGGGAACUCCCUACCCGAACAGGUUUUUUUGUUUGUUUGUUUGUUUUUGUCUUUCGUCUUAUUAGGGCCGUACCUGAAGCAUGGAGGUUCCCAGGCUAGGGGUCUAAUCGAAGCUACAGCUGAUGGCCUAUGCCACAGCCACAGCAAUGCCAGAUCUGAGCCAUAUCUCCAAGCUACACCACAGCUCACAGCAAUGCUGGAUCCUUAAUCCACUGAGCGAGGCCAGGAAUCAAACCCACAACCUCAUGGUUCCCAGUUGGAUUCAUUUCCACUUCACCAUGAUGGGAACUCCUGAAUAGAUUUUUAAUGCAGAAAAAAGAGCCCUAUUCUGGGGGAAAAAAAAUGUCACGAAGGACAUUAGUGAGGAAGGGAAAGUGAGCUUCAGCAUUUAAGGCAGGAAGGGACUAGUUAACUCUAACUGCAAAUGCAGUUAGGUUAUGAUCAGGACUGCCUUUAUCUGUAAGCUGCCAACUCCAGAGCCCUGAAGGGAAAAGAUAAAUAUCAGUGCCAGACUUUUGGUUGUACAAGAAGGCCUGGAGAAUGGGAACCCUUUUUUUCUGGAUUGGUUCCAUCAAUACAUUGUCCCUGAAAUCAGGAAGUACCUUGACAGUAAGGAACUGCCUUUUAAAGCUCUUUUGGUGUGAGAAAAUAUUUUGUCCCAGCCUCCCUGAAAAAACUCCAUGAGUUUGACAUCAACGUCCAAUUGAUCCCUGGCACCCAAACACAGUGUCUCUGAUUCAGCCACUAGAUCCAGGGUGUCACAAGGGCCUUUAAAGCUCGUUACACAUGGUACUUUUUGAAAAGUAUGGUCAAUUCUGUGGAAGAGAACCCUGACAGAGAACAUCAUGAAAGUCUGGAAGAGUUACGCCAUUGAAGAUGCCAUCAUUGUCAUAGAAAAAGCUGUGAAAGCCAUCAGGGCUAAAACAGUAAAUUCUUGCUGGAGAAAACUAUGUCCAGAUGUGUGCAUGACCUCACAGGACUUAUGAUGGGCUAAUCAAGGAAAUCAUGAAAGAGAGCAAGGAUAUGGCAAAAAAAGAUGGGGGUGGGGGGUAAAGAGUUUUAAGAUAUGGAUCUUAGAGAAAUUCAAGAGCUAGUAGACACUACACCAGAGGGAUUAACAGAAGAUGACUGUGGAGAAGAGUGCUUCUGAGCCAGUGUCAGACGAUGAGGAAGAAGAUGUAGAAGAAGCAGUGCCAGAAAACAAACUGACAUUAGACAGUCUGGCAGAAGGGAUCCAGUUAUUCAAGACUGCUUUUGACUUCUUUUAUGACCUAGGCCCUUCUGUGUAAUGGGCACCGAAACUAACACAAAUGAUGAUUGGUACCAUAAAGAAACAGUUUUGGAGAAAGGAAAAAGCAAAAAAGUCAAACACAAAUUGCAGUCUAUUUCCUUAAAAUUACACUGUGUCUGCCUGCCUCUUCUGCCACCCUUCCAUCUCCUCCUCCCUGUCUUCCUCCUCCCCAGCCUAUUGAACAUGAAGUCAAGAUGAAGACCUUUAUGAUGAUUCACUUCCACUUAAUGAA